AUGGGUCUCAGAGUCUAUGGAUGGUAUUUGAGGAGACUAGGAAAGGAAUUGGCUCUCUUUGGUGGAGCUCCCCCUGCUGCUGAGGGAGAAGCUGACGAGAAUGAUGAGGGAAAUGCGAGCCAGGAGGAAGAUGAAGAGAGUGAGCCAGAUACACCAAUCGCUGUAAAUUUCUUAGUUUUAGUGGUCAGAGUGAAUUAGAGAACCUUGAGAAAGUAAUACAUGACUCCAUCAUGGAGAUUUUUAAAGCAAGAGAAAGAAAGGCCCUGAAUGGAGAAGUAGAUGGAUUUGGGAGUGACUUCCGUGGAUUACUGUUAAACGCUCAUUCAUGAUAUGAACGAAAAAUAAAAUAGGAUGCCUUUUUCUACUCAGUGUCUUCCGCUUCAAGUAUUUUGUAGUUGAAAUUUCACAGCUGUUUAUCUGUAGAACAGAGUAAACUAGUUCUGAAUUCAGAACUUCCAACUUUGGUCAGGCUUGAGGCUCCUUGAGAAAAGAUAAAUCUGAAAGGCCCGUGAUUUGUUCACAUUUGCAAGAUAUAAUUAGAACCUCCACCACUCAAAGGUGGAAUUAUAUGC